rnacentral:rRNA from 3 species
GGAUGCGAUCAUACCAGCACUAAAGCACCGGAUCCCAUCAGAACUCCGAAGUUAAGCGUGCUUGGGCGAGAGUAGUACUAGGAUGGGUGACCUCUUGGGAUGUCCUCGUGUUGCAUUCC